rnacentral:tRNA from 4 species
GGGUCGGUACCGAAGUGGCCAACCGGGGCAGACUGUAAAUCUGCUGGCUUAACGCCUUCGCUGGUUCGAAUCCAGCCCGGCCCACCA